ensembl:miRNA mir-2209.2 miscRNA
AGUGUAACAACUCUUCUCCUUCCGAAAACCAAUAAUCGAGAAGAGAUGAGCGGUUGUGCUUCA